rnacentral:rRNA from 1 species
UUUGUAUAAUGGGUCAGCGACUUAUAUUCAGUGGCAAGGUUAACCAUCUAGGGGAGCCGUAGGGAAACCGAGUCUUAACUGGGCGUUCAGUCUCUGGAUAUAGACCCGAAACCAGGUGAUCUAGCCAUGGGCAGGUUGAAGGUUGAGUAACAUCAACUGGAGGACCGAACCGACUAAUGUUGAAAAAUUAGCGGAUGACUUGUGGCUAGGGGUGAAAGGCCAAUCAAACCUGGAGAUAGCUGGUUCUCCCCGAAAGCUAUUUAGGUAGCGCCUCGGACGAAUACUACUGGGGGUAGAGCACUGUUAAGGCUAGGGGGUCAUCCCGACUUACCAACCCUUUGCAAACUCCGAAUACCAGUAAGUACUAUCCGGGAGACACACGGCGGGUGCUAACGUCCGUCGUGGAGAGGGAAACAACCCAGACCGCCAGCUAAGGUCCCAAAUUACUACUAAGUGGGAAACGAUGUGGGAAGGCUCAGACAGCCAGGAUGUUGGCUUAGAAGCAGCCAUCAUUUAAAGAAAGCGUAAUAGCUCACUGGUCGAGUCGGCCUGCGCGGAAGAUGUAACGGGGCUAAGUAGUAAACCGAAGCUGCGGCAAUAUACUUUUGUAUAUUGGGUAGGGGAGCGUUCUGUAAGCGGUUGAAGGUGUGUGGUAACGCAUGCUGGACGUAUCAGAAGUGCGAAUGCUGACAUGAGUAACGAUAAAGGGGGUGAAAAACCUCCUCGCCGGAAGACCAAGGGUUCCUGUCCAACGUUAAUCGGGGCAGGGUAAGUCGACCCCUAAGGCGAGGCCGAAAGGCGUAGUCGAUGGGAAACGGGUUAAUAUUCCCGUACUUCUUACAAUUGCGAUGGGGGGACGGAGAAGGCUAGGUGGGCCUGGCGACGGUUGUCCAGGUUCAAGUGCGUAGGCUUAAGAGUUAGGUAAAUCCGGCUCUUUUUAAGGCUGAGACACGACGUCGAGCACCUACGGGUGUGAAGUCAUUGAUGCCAUGCUUCCAGGAAAAGCCUCUAAGCUUCAGAUUGUAAGGAAUCGUACCCCAAACCGACACAGGUGGUCGGGUAGAGAAUACCAAGGCGCUUGAGAG